rnacentral:rRNA from 1 species
UACGAAGGGGGCUAGCGUUGUUCGGAAUUACUGGGCGUAAAGCGCACGCCGGCGGCUCGAUAAAUUAGAAGUGAAAGCCCCGGGCUUAACCUGGGAAUUGCUUUUAAGACUGUCGGGCCAGAAUCCAGAAGAGGGUAGUGGAAUUCCGAGUGUAGAGGUGAAAUUCGUAGAUAUUCGGAAGAACACCAGUGGCGAAGGCGACUACCUGGUCUGGCAUUGACGCUCAUGUGCGAAAGCGUGGGGAGCAAACAGG